rnacentral:rRNA from 1 species
UACGUAGGGUGCAGGCGUUAAUCGGAAUUACUGGGCGUAAAGCGUGCGCAGGCGGUUUGCUAAGACAGGCGUGAAAUCCCCGGGCUUAACCUGGGAAUUGCGCUUGUUACUGGCAAGCUGGAGUGUGGCAGAGGGAGGUGGAAUUCCACGUGUAGCAGUGAAAUGCGUAGAGAUGUGGAGGAACACCGAUGGCGAAGGCAGCCCCCUGGGCUAACACUGACGCUCAUGCACGAAAGCGUGGGGAGCAAACAGG